rnacentral:rRNA from 1 species
GCCGGCGGCCUUAGCGCGGUGGUCCCACCUGACCCCAUGCCGAACUCAGAAGUGAAACGCCGUAGCGCCGAUGGUAGUGUGGGGUCUCCCCAUGCGAGAGUAGGGAACUGCCAGGC